CUCUUUGCGGUUGGCUCUGGCCUUGAGAACCCGACCUUGGGGCCCUUUGAUUGGAAGAACGUGCAGCGCACCUCGGCAUUGAGGGCGGCUUCCUCGGGGCGCGGCGCCGCCCGCCUCUGAGUGCGCCUGCCUCUCUCAAUUGGGCAAAGCACUCCAGACCUUUUGGAAGAGUGACACCAAAGGCAAGCACCUGCUUGGCAGGCCCCUCAGCUUCUACGCAAGUAUAACUGAGGACCCUUGAAGAGGUUAAGUGACCAACCCAAGAUCACAAGACUGAUGAAACCAGUGCUUGAACUCAAGCUUCUGAUUCCGAGUCCAAUCUUCUCUUUCCACUGCAUAAAGAUACUCGAGUCUCUUAUCACCACCAACACCAAGUGAUGGCUUAUAAAGAUCAUCCUUAGGGUCUUUCCCCCUCAAACGUGCUAUCAUUCAGUAACUCUAGGAUCCUUGUUAAAAAAAAAAAAAAAACGGGGGUUGCGGAGAAGGGAUUGAAAUAUCUCCUCUCCCUGUCUUCACCUCCUCUGAUGAAAUCUGAUUUUAUUCUGUGAUAUGUAAGACCUGAAUGAAGGUGACUGAAGUAAUUGGGUACAUGGUUAGUGGUGGAAUCCGGAUGUGAACCUGAGUCAUGGUCUUGCCAUUGUUCCUUGAAGACAGGAAAUAUUUGUAAAUAUAUUUGGAAGCAACUUUAAAAUUGUUGCAUGUGGUUGGGUCUAACAGAAUCACUUGAAUGAAGAGAAAAACAUAACUUUUUCCUGUGAAUUUUCAGGGAAAUGCAAUUAUUUCCUUUCACUUGGUAUAAAAGCUCUUCAGAGGAAUAAAGCAUGCAUGAGCCAACACAUGCAGAGACAAUUGAGCCUUUAGUCGCAACUCAUGCUCUAGUUAUAAUGUGUUUUUAAAUUCCAUGAUAGCUACAGAGAAGGAGGAAAGGACUUAACAUAACAGCCUACCAUGUUCAAGGGAUUAUAAUACAUUAUCUCAUUUAAUCCUCUCAUGAAACCUGUGAGGUAGAUGUUCUUAUCACAUCUUACAGAAGAGGAAGUCAUGGUCUAGAGAAAUUAAGCAAUCUGCCCAAGAUUGCAAGGUUACCAAGUUUCCUAAAUGGGAUCCAGACACCAGGGCAUACACUUCUUCAACCAUGAGGAUGUCUCUUUUGCUUAAUGUAGCUGCUUCCUUUCCUGUGUUCUUUUAAAUUAAGUUUUAAUUAUUCUGCUUUAUCUUAGUUUAUUGAAGGUUCCAGAAUAUGUUAGAGAAGGAUGCAUGUCGGAGACCAUCUAGUUUAAACUCUUACUUUUAUAAAAGAGGAAACAGGGUACAGGGGAAGUAUGGCCCGAGGUCACAUGGAGAAUUCAUAUGAGAGUGUGAGGUAAAAUUAAAACUCAAUUUCUUGAGUUCUAGUUCAAAGUAUCCUACUACUUAGUGACCCUGGUGCCUUAGUGAAGAGAGAAAGAAAAGAAGAAAUAAUCUCUAAUGGCUUCUCACCCAUAAGUAAAAAAGGAGUGGCUGGGUGCCGUGGCUCAUGCCUGUAAUCACAGCACUUUGGGAGGCUGAGGUGGGUGGAUCGCCUGAGGUCAGGAGAUCGAGACCAGCCUGGCCAACAUGAUGAAACCCCGUCUUUACAAAAAAUACAAAAAAUUAGCUGGGCGUGGUGACAGGCAUCUGUAAUCCCAGCUACUCGGGAGGCUGAAGCAGGAGAAUCACUUGAACCCAGGAGGUGGAGGUUGCAGUGAGCCGAGAUCAUGCCAUUGCACUCCAGCCUGGGCAAGAGUGAGUCUCCAUCUCAAAAAAAAAAAAAGUUACAAAGAAUGAAACCCCGUUAAGUAAGUAAAAUCAGCUAUGAUUCCUGCUAUCCUGAAAGCUGACAGUGAAGACCUUCAUCAACACUUUUCUAAAUGAGUAGAUAAUUACAAACUGAGAUAAGCACGGUAAGGGCGUGUGACAUAAGCACAUGUCUUAGACUGGGAGUGGACAGUUCAGUGGAGAGCAAAGAGGGAAAAUUCCAGGCUGAGAUAAGUCCCUGGGGGUCAAAAAGGGUGGAAGUAGGUAAUUGGGAGUCUGGAGCUCAGAGAGAGGAGGGGGAAGGAGUGAGGGGUAUAGGAGUGGAGAGUGAGUUGGUGAGAUGAGGAUGAGGAGGAAAAUAAGAGCCAGGUAGUCAUGGCCUUAUGUAGGCUCCAUAAAGUCUUUACUCAAAGUUUAAUGGGAAGCCAUUAAGAGUGGUAUAUAUUGGUGACACAAUCAGCUUUGAGCUUUUAAAGGAUCACCUUUGUGUUUGUAAACAAUUUCUAGAUUUUAAAGCAGUAGACAAAGGACAGAGAUUAUAUAAAGAAAUGAGAAAGCUUCCACAAAGUGUACAUGGAAACCAGUCUUUCUGCCUUAACUCAAACUGUGUGAUGAAGGCAGCAAGUGCUUGGGAGCCCAGAGAGUCAAGGGAUGGCCAUGGCUUGGAGGAUAUGGAGCAAUUCAAGUGGGCUAAAAUCUGAAGUCCAUAGCAGGAAGGGACAGCUUCACGUUCAGUCAGCAAAUUUCUAUUUAGCUACAAUUACCUCUUCACCUUAGCUCAUCUGUUCUCUGAUGGAUGUGCUUUUUUUUUUUGUUUCUAAAUUCCCUUUUCCUUUUCUCUGGAGAUGGGUGAUUGAUGUAGUCUGGGUAUUUGUUCCCUCCAAAUCUCAUGUUGAAAUGUAAUCCCCAGUGUUGGAGGUAGGGCCUGGUGGGAGGUGUUUGGAUCAUGGGGGCAGAUCCCUCAUGAAUAGCUUGGUACUGUCCUCUCAAUAGUGAAUGAGUUCUCCUGAGAUAUGGUUGUUUAAAAGUGUGUGGCACUCCCCCAUUGCUCUCUUGUUACUGCUUUCGACAUGUGACAUCCCUGCUCCCCUUCGCUCUCUGCCAUGAUUGAAAGUUUCCUAAGGCUUCGCCAAAAGCUGAGCAGAUGUGGGUGCCAUGCUUGUACAGCCUGCAGAACUGUGAGCCAAAAUAAACUUCAUUUCCAUAUAAAUUACCCAGCCUCAGAUAUUUCUUUAUAGCAACAUAAGAGUGGCUUAAUACAGGCUGGGCAUGGUGGCUCACGCCUGUAAUCCCAGCACUGUGGGAGGCUGAGGGGGGUGGAACAUGAG
rnacentral:lncRNA from 10 species